ensembl:lncRNA
CGUGGACAAAGUGUAGGUUAAAUAAGAUUUAUUUGACAGUUGGGAGAUUAUAAUUUCCUAUCAGAUAGGAAACACCUAUGUUUUAGCAUCUGGACCUCACUGAGCUUGCGCUGGUGUUUCGUUCGUAACCAAUCAGAAACAACGAACGAAUCUUUAAUUACUCUUUUUUUUGACUCUGGUUUUAAAGAAUCGGUUGAGUGAAUGACUCACUAAAGGGUUCUAUCGAUGAUUCAUUCAUAAAACACAGAUACGUUCACUUGCCGCCGCCUGCUGGUGUAGCAGUUAAUCGCGGUCUUAAUUUCAACAGCAAAGAAUGGUUAAACAAGUUUAAAGACUCAGACGAGGCCCAGUUAGUUCCGCUGGACUCUGAGAAGAAUGUAAAAUGAAAAUGCACAACCGAAAGAAAGGAUAUGGUUUUAAGGAGGACCGUAUGUUCAAACAUUAACGUUUUUAGAGUGGUGGGAAGUUUCGUGUAUCCCACAUGUCCGGGGCAGAGUGACACAUGUUUAAAGAUAUCCCUUUCCUUUUCCUCACCACUGACAGAAGCCUGGCGGACAUGCGUCUCAAUUCAGACUGAUAUGAGAGAAAAUAUUGAGCCUGGAGCUUGACCAGUGCAUUGGAGGCCUUGGAAGGGCAGAACAGUGGUUGAGACGAGUCUGCAUGAGAUGACAGUCUCCAAGAAAGCUGUGUCCAAAAACACAAGCUUCUGUAACAAGCUCCAAAGAAUUCUCCCUGGCCUCAUGAGCUCAGUGUCAGACAAAAGCUUUGUUUAUAGAAGGAUGAUGCUUGCAGUGUGUCAUCCAUCCACUACUGAUGAUGACACAACAUGAACUAUUGUUUGUUCAUUUUUAAUGACAGCUCCCACCUCAAUAAAUUCA